UACGUAGGGGGCAAGCGUUGUCCGGAAUCAUUGGGCGUAAAGCGCGCGUAGGCGGCCCGAUAAGUCCGCUGUAAAAGUCCAGGGCUCAACCCUGGAAAGCCGGUGGAUACUGUCAGGCUCGAGUCCGGAAGAGGCGAGUGGAAUUCCUGGUGUAGCGGUGGAAUGAGCAGAUAUCAGGAGGAACACCGAUAGCGAAGGCAGCUCGCUGGGACGGUACUGACGCUAAGGCGCGAAAGCGUGGGGAGCGAACAGG
rnacentral:rRNA from 1 species